rnacentral:rRNA from 1 species
GACGAACGCUGGCGGCGUGGAUUAGGCAUGCAAGUCGAACGGUAUCAUCCUUUCGGGGGUGAGAGAGUGGCGAACUGGUGAGUAACACGUAGGUUAUCUACCCUCAAGACGGGGACAACCCAGGGAAACUUGGGCUAAUACCGGAUGUGAGCAACUUUUUAGUUGUUUGAAAGGUGGCGUAAGCUGUCGCUUGGGGAUGAGCCUGCGUCCUAUUAGUUAGUUGGUGAGGUAACGGCUCACCUAGGCAAUGAUAGGUAGGCGGCCUUAACGGGUGGUCGCCCACACUGGGAUUGAGAUACGGCCCAGACUCCUACGGGAGGCAGCAGUCGAGAAUAGUCUACAAUGGUCGGAAGACUGAUAGUGCGACGCCGCGUGAACGAUGAAUCCCUUCGGGGUGUAAAGUUCUUUUAUAUGUGAGCAGUGCUUCUUAUAUUAACAGUAUGGGGAGAGAGAUAUUAGCAUAUGAAUAAGCAACGGCUAACUCCGUGCCAGCAGCCGCGGUAAGCUCG